rnacentral:tRNA from 1 species
GCGUCGGUGGUUCAGUGGUAGAAUACUCGCCUGCCACGCGGGUGGCCCGGGUUCGAUUCCCUGCCGACGCA